CGUUGUUCGGAAUUACUGGGCGUAAAGGGCGCGUAGGCGGUGCUCUAAGUCGGAUGUGAAAACUCUGGGCUCAACCCAGAGCCUGCAUCCGAAACUGGAGUGCUAGAGUUCUGGAGGGGGUAGCGGAAUUCCUGGUGUAGCGGUGAAAUGCGUAGAUAUCAGGAGGAACACCGGUGGCGAAGGCGGCUACCUGGACAGAAACUGACGCUGAGGCGCGAAAGCUAGGGGAGCAAACAGG
rnacentral:rRNA from 1 species